AACAAGAUUUGUUUCGGCCGCC
rnacentral:miRNA from 1 species